rnacentral:lncRNA from 1 species
AUGACUCUGUUAAGAAACUCAUUGCUACAGAACAUGCUGCACUCGUCAAGUUCAAACAAGAUUUCCAGUGUCACACUUUUGAAUCCUGGCCGAGGAAGAGAAGACCUGCAGCCAUUUCAGCUAAUGAUACACUUACUGACUCAUCCAAGGAAGUCAGCAAUGGAUAAGACCUGCUACAACCACAGAAGCAGUGAUAUUCACUUGUUUAAUAACUGGGAAAAAAAAAGAAAAAAAAAACAGAUAUCCUUACACUAUUGCUUCUCUGCCUUCAGGCCCUGCAGUACUCCAUAUUUCAAGUACAAUACAAGACAGCUACUAAAUUUGUGUGUCUCUAUUCUGUGUCUUUUUAGAGACAUAAUCUGGUCAUGGCACCAAAGUGUUCAUAUGUUUGGACCCUAGAAGAAAGUUGUUUCUCUUAAAAGGAAUAAAUAUAGUACAACAAUUCUUGAAAAAACA